CUCUGAAUGCAUAAGGAUUCAGGGCAAAAAGGAG
rnacentral:ncRNA from 1 species